GACGUAGGGCGCGAGCGUUGUCCGGAUUUAUUGGGCGUAAAGAGCUCGUAGGCGGUCUGUCGCGUCGGCUGUGAAAACUCGGGGCUCAACCCCGAGCCUGCAGUCGAUACGGGCAGACUAGAGUGCUGUAGGGGAGACUGGAAUUCCUGGUGUAGCGGUGAAAUGCGCAGAUAUCAGGAGGAACACCGGUGGCGAAGGCGGGUCUCUGGGCCGUAACUGACGCUGAGGAGCGAAAGCGUGGGGAGCGAACAGG
rnacentral:rRNA from 1 species